AAAUGGCCACGUGACCUGAAAUUUACAGAAAAAUGUCGGAGUCGGAAUUACGCCGGCGAAAGGGGGAUGGAGGUCCGGAGGGGGAUACCGGAGUGUCGGAGUCGGAGACGGAUAAAAUGCCGAGAGAUGAGAGUGAUGCUGAUGAUAAACCAAUGAUAAACAAGAGUUUGGCGGAAACUAUUGGACAGGAUAAAAAUCCUGACUCCUUGGACGCGGCUCUAAGUGGAUUACCUCCAAGGUGGAAGAACUAUGUGAUCCGUUUUAUCUUCACCUGGUUAAUGAUCGGUGGGUUCGGGUUGAUCAUCUACGGCGGACCCUUAGCUCUCAUGAUCACCACCUUCGUGGUCCAAGUCAAGUGUUUCUCCGAGAUUAUUAAUAUCGGGUACGCUGUUUACAAGAUGGAUAAUUUGCCCUGGUUCAGGUCAAUGUCCUGGUACUUUCUCGUAGCCUCGAACUACUUCUUCUACGGGGAGAGCUUGGUGGAGUACUUCGGGGUACUUGUCAACAGGGUUGAUUUUCUCUCCUCUCUGGUGAAGUAUCACCGAUUUAUCUCCUUCACCAUGUACAUCCUAGGAUUUGUCUGGUUUGUGUUGAGCCUUGUGAAGAAGUAUUAUCUACGUCAGUUCUCCCUGUUCGCCUGGACCCAUGUAGCACUACUCAUUGUAGUCACUCAGUCAUACCUCAUCAUUCAGAAUAUGUUCCAAGGACUAAUCUGGUUUAUCAUGCCGAUCUUGAUGGUGGUGAUCAACGACGUGAUGGCGUACAUGUUCGGAUUCUUCAUGGGUCGUACUCCACUCAUCAAGCUUAGCCCCAAGAAAACCUGGGAGGGAUUUAUCGGUGGAGGAAUAGCAACUGUAUUUAUGACCCUGGGCCUCUCCUACCUAAUGUGUCAGUUCCCGUAUUUCGUUUGCCCGAUAGAGUACUCCCCGGAGUUGGAGAGGAUGACAAUGUCCUGCGAGCCCUCCGCUCUCUUCAGACCUCAGGAGUAUGCUCUCCCGCAGACUCUCACCACCUGGAGAAGGAUUCUACACAUGAAGGAAACCGUGACCCUCUACCCGUUCUUGCUCCACGCCCUCUUCAUGUCCCUCUUCGCCUCUAUCAUUGGCCCUUUCGGCGGGUUCUUCGCUUCAGGGUUCAAGAGAGCGUUUAAGAUCAAGGAUUUCGGAGAUAUUAUCCCAGGCCAUGGGGGUAUCAUGGACAGGUUUGACUGCCAGUUCCUGAUGGCAACCUUCGUCAACGUUUACUACCAUAGCUUCAUUUACGUUGUAACACCUGGCAAGCUGCUGCAGCUGGUGUUUAUGCUGAAACCUGAAGAACAGCUGGAGCUAUAUCAUUCUCUGGAGGAUUCACUGCUAGCUAGGGGGAUACUCGCCCCUCUUAAUUAGUCCGUAUUGAGGGGGACGCCGCCUCCAGCCAUGGGGGGGGGGUAUGUCACCCCUUAAUAAGUUAGGAAGGCCAGGGUAUCCUUGAGUCCCUAAUGUACUCGGAGAUGAGGGAAAAGGAUGGUAUAAUAAUCCUCUUUAAUUUCCCAGAAUUUAUCUGAUCAAAUCUUUCUGAUUAUUCAUGUCAAAGGGACUGACGUUGUAAUUUCAAGUGACUCCUAAUUGAUGGAGUGACAUGUCUGAUUCACAACAGUACCCUUAAAAACUUUGUCUGAUUAAAUAUGAAUUAGAUAUCCAUGUAUUUGAUUUGAUUUGAUUUGAUCUCUGCAAUAGUGACUUAUGAAAUUACUAGAACUAAACACUUGUUGAGCUUUAAAACGACAAUAUCUUCCACAUUUAUGAUCAGCCUAAGGUUUCAAGGUUACCGUUGUAAUACAGGGUUUCUCCUCUUUGCAAAGAGGGUCGCUUUAAAUUACGUUUACAGUCCCUUAAAUCAAAUAUUGAUGUUAGAUCUCUGAAGUACGCUAGUUCGUUUAAACGUACUGCAUAUAGUGUUGUACCAAGGAAUUUUAUUUGACACAUCAGACAUUAAAAAAAAUAUUCUAGUCUUAUUUGUGGUAUAAUUGUGUUAAAAACCCUGUGUGAUUUAAUUUUUGUCAGUAUAUUUAAAUUUUUUUUUCGUAGAUGUUUGCUAUAAAUGAUAUUAAUAGGUAUACAAUAUAAACAAUAUGACCUGAUUGCAGGCGUGUUUUUGAAGGUCAGAUAACCCCUGUUCACUUCGCUUUAAUUUGGGAAUAAAUAUUUCAAAGCUUAGUUUGAAAUAAGAAUUAAAGUUAAAAAAGAUUUUUAAGCGUUUAAAGAAAUUUUAAUUAAGUUAUUACUCAAGUUACGAAUUCGGAAUAAAAUGUAUAUUUGUAACCAACUAUAGUAUCCUGUGUGUAUUGUAUAUUCCUAACAAUAAAGGAAAAUAAAGAGCAUACAUUUUCUGUUCUUCUGUGAUUGUGAUUAUUGUAACAUAUAGA